rnacentral:rRNA from 1 species
UACGGAGGGUGCAAACGUUGCUCGGAAUCAUUGGGCGUAAAGCGCACGUAGGUGGCCUGUUAAGUCGGGUGUGAAAUCCCUGGGCUCAACCCAGGAAGUGCACUCGAAACUGGCAGGCUUGAGUACUGAAGAGGGUCGCGGAAUUCCCGGUGUAGAGGUGAAAUUCGUAGAUAUCGGGAGGAACACCAGUGGCGAAGGCGGCGACCUGGGCGAGAUACUGACACUGAGGUGCGAAAGCGUGGGGAGCAAACAGG